GACGAACGCUGGCGGCGUGCUUAACACAUGCAAGUCGAACGGAAAGGCCAGGCUCUUGCGGGUUGGACGAUAGCGGAGGGGGGGUGAAUUACGCGUGGAUCAUCCCCUUAUAUUAGGGAUAUAUCUAGGAAAAAGGGGCGAUAACCGCGGAGAACAUCUUGCACCGCGUGGGGGGUUGGAAAGAUUCGGCGUUGGGGGCUGGUAUGGAGGCUUAUCGGCUGGUUGGGGGGGUAGUGGAUGCCCAGGGUUUUGAGGGGUAGCAGGCCUGGGAGGGUGACCGGCGACAUUGGGACUGAGAUACGGCCCAGACUCCUACGGGAGGCAGCAGUGGGGAAUAUUGCACAAUGGGCGGAAGCCUGAUGCAGCAACGCCGCGUGCGGGAUAACGGCCUUCGGGUUGUAAACCGCUUUCGCCUGUGACGAAGCGUGAGUGACGGUAAUGGGUAAAGAAGCACCGGCUAACUACGUG
rnacentral:rRNA from 1 species